GGCCGGUCCGAAGGCAGUGAGUUAUCUCAAUUGAUGGCUCACAGUCUGUUACAGAUUGGGCUCAUUGUUCUACUUUUUCCCCGCUUGUCACUAUUGCACUUGACUAGUCUUAA
rnacentral:Y_RNA from 1 species